rnacentral:rRNA from 1 species
AACGAACGCUGGCGGCAUGCCUAACACAUGCAAGUCGAACGGAAAGGCCCUGCUUUUGUGGGGUGCUCGAGUGGCGAACGGGUGAGUAACACGUGAGUAACCUGCCCUUGACUUUGGGAUAACUUCAGGAAACUGGGGCUAAUACCGGAUAGGAGCUCCUGCUGCAUGGUGGGGGUUGGAAAGUUUCGGCGGUUGGGGAUGGACUCGCGGCUUAUCAGCUUGUUGGUGGGGUAGUGGCUUACCAAGGCUUUGACGGGUAGCCGGCCUGAGAGGGUGACCGGCCACAUUGGGACUGAGAUACGGCCCAGACUCCUACGGGAGGCAGCAGUGGGGAAUAUUGCACAAUGGGCGGAAGCCUGAUGCAGCAACGCCGCGUGCGGGAUGACGGCCUUCGGGUUGUAAACCGCUUUCGCCUGUGACGAAGCGUGAGUGACGGUAAUGGGUAAAGAAGCACCGGCUAACUACGUG